CGGGGCGUAGCGCAGCUUGGUAGCGCACUUGCAUGGGGCGCAAGAGGUCGCUGGUUCAAAUCCAGUCGUCCCGA
rnacentral:tRNA from 1 species